AGUGAACGCUGGCGGUGGGCCUAACACAUGCAAGUCGAACGGCAGCACCGUAAGAGCUUGCUGUUACCGGUUGCGAGUGGGGGGCGUGUGAGGAAUGUAACGUGCUCUACAUUUUCGGGGGAGUUAACGUAGGUAAACUUACUCUAAUACCGCAUACGAUCUUCGGUGGUAAGCCUUGGAACGUCUCGCCUUGCGCGGAUGAAUUCGCCGCUGUCGGAUUAGCUAGUUGGCGGGUUAAAGGCCCAGCCAGUCGACGAUCCGUAGCUGGUCUGAGAGGCUGGUCGGCCACCCUAGAACUGGACCGCGGUCCAUACUACUGAGGGAGGCAGCAGUGGGGAAUAUUGGGCAAUAGGCGGAAGCAUGACCCAGCGAUACCGCGUGGGAGACGAAGGCCUCCGGGUUGUAAAGCCCUUUUGUUGGGAAAGAACAGCAGCCGGUUAAUACCAAGCUGUUCUGACGGUACCCAAAGAAUAAGCACCGGCUAACUACGUG
rnacentral:rRNA from 1 species